rnacentral:rRNA from 1 species
UGAGGAACUUGCCCCGGAGACCGGGAUAACCCUCCGAAAGGAGAGCUAAUACCGGAUGUCCUCACCGAGCCGCAUGGUUUGGUGAAGAAAUGGAUUCCGCUCCGGGAGAGCCUCGCGGCCUAUCAGCUAGUUGGUGGGGUAACGGCCCACCAAGGCGACGACGGGUAGCUGGUCUGAGAGGAUGGCCAGCCACAUUGGGACUGAGACACGGCCCAGACUCCUACGGGAGGCAG